CUUCCGGGGAUCUUUGGCAGCCGACGGUCUGGUUAGAGCUUUGUUUUUUUACUGACGAGUGGGAGAGGGGUGAAUAAUGCCGGGAAAACGGCCUGAUGAAGGGGGAUAAUUCCGGAAACCGGUUCUAAAUACCGAAUAGAGCUUCUCGAUCAAGGAGGGGGACCUUCGGACCGCUUGCGCUCUCACGUGCCCAUAGUCCCUUAGCGAGUUAGCGGGGUAACGAGUCACCUGCGCUACAAUGCCUCGCUGGAUUGACAGGAUGACCAGCUGACUGGCACUGUGGCACUGUCACAACUCCUACGGUCAUCAGGAUUUUGGACA
rnacentral:rRNA from 1 species